rnacentral:misc_RNA from 2 species
AUGGGGGCAUUUUUAGAUAAACCGCAAACAGACAAGUACAAUGAGCAUGGGGCUGGGAACGGUUUGCGAUAUGGAGUCGCCAGCAUGCAGGGCUGGCGGGUUGAGAUGGAGGAUGCUCACCGAGCCAUAACCGGUCUUGAGGGUGGCUUGUCGGACUGGAGUUACUUCGCCGUGUUCGAUGGCCACGCAGGUGCUCUUGUGUCUGCGCACAGCGCGGAGCAUUUGUUAGAGUCAAUAAUGCAAACGGAGGAGUUUAAGGCGGAGGAUGUAAUAAAGGGUAUUCACUCAGGCUUUUUGAGAUUAGACGACCGAAUGCGAGACUUGCCGGAGAUGAUUACAGAUAAGUCUGGCUCGACGGCUGUUUGUGCUUUCAUUUCUCCCAGGCAAAUUUAUAUCGCAAACUGCGGAGAUUCAAGGGCUGUACUGUGCCGAUCUGGUAAUCCAGUGUUCUCAACCAGAGACCACAAGCCUGUUUUACCUGCUGAGAAGGAGAGAAUCCAAAAAGCUGGAGGGAGCGUCAUGAUCCAGCGAGUUAACGGGUCGCUCGCUGUUUCUAGAGCCUUAGGAGAUUACGAGUACAAAAAUGUCGAGGGUCGUGGCCCAUGCGAACAGCUAGUCUCACCCGAACCCGAAAUAUUUGUCAGGGAAAGAGACGACGUCAAUGACGAAUUCCUGGUUUUGGCAUGCGACGGGAUUUGGGACGUUAUGACCAACGAGGAUCUCUGUGAUUUCAUUCGUUCUAGGCUACUCUUGACUGACGAUUUGGAAGCAGUCACCAACCAAGUCAUAGAUACCUGCCUAUAUAAGGGUAGCCGAGACAACAUGAGCAUAGUUUUGGUAACGUUACCUGGUGCCCCGAAGCCAAGCGCAGAGGCACAGAAGAAAGAAGCUGAAUUGGAAAUGGCCAUUGAAAGGAGGAUCAAAGAAAUAGUAACGCAGCAGGAGGGCCAGGAUGGAAUCGAUUUCCCACAGCUGCUCCAACAUCUUAUAGACCAGGAAAUGCCCAAUCUUCCACCCGGAGGUGGUCUUCCUGCCAAGCGACCAUUCAUCGAACAGGUGUUCCGGGAAGUUUGCCCCAGCAGGGCGAACAGUAUAGAAGAAGAUGAGUCAAGGAAAGUUCGAAUUAUUCGUUGCAUAUACAACUCGAUGCGUCUGCAUUCUAAACAAAGCUGAACGUAGAAAACUGAUACAAGGCCGGCCUAAGAAUUGAGCAGUAUUCCGCAGUUACAAGGAGUCAAGGACUAGUUAGUGCAUACAAUAUGUAUACCAUUUUAUACGUGUUGUAUGGAAUAAUCUGGCGAAUGAGAGAACAGCAGAUUUGAGACAUCGUCAACUACAACUAUGAUGGGUUUGCCGCAUUAAGUCACAAUUGUAUAGAACAAUAAUUAAUCAUUAAAUCACACGUUAGUCAAUACCAAACAAUAUACCUUGCAUUACAUUACACUUGUACAACUGACAAAAAAAACCUACGUUUUUAAGAGUUUACUGUAUAAAGCGGUUUAAUAUGAUACUAGCCAAGGGUGAGAUAUAUAAAUUAACUUACACACAUGCUAGCAUAUUUAUAUGAUUAAGCCAUUACCUCACAAUACCUACUUCCAUCACAGCGUAACUCAUAUUGCAGAAAAUUUUGGAUCGUAUCUCUUUACGAAGAUCCACUAUUAUAGAUAUAUCUUACUUUUAAAUUCAGGUAGUAGGAAAAUAAUGAAUUUAAUUUUCAUUUAAUUUUCAUUUAAUAUUCAUUUAAGAGUAAAGCAGCUUUUAUUAUUUCGUACUGUAAUUUCUCUCAGUUUUCAUCAUAUGAAUUUCGCGUAACUGCCACAAUACAAGUCUGGGCCAGAUAAUUAUAGUUUUCUUCAAGCUGUACUUAAUUUAAAUUAUAUAUACACAUAUAUCGCAAUAAUUUCGAAUAUCCUCAUCCGUGUUGAAUAAAUAAAACAAUCUUGUUAGAAAAUCAAUUGAAUUAUGUGAAGUAAACUAUUGAAUCGAAAUGAAGUACUUAGAACAGUAGUAUGCAUUCACAGGUAAACUGCAUCCCAUCGAAGAUUUAAUGAAUCAGAACAUUUUUUUUUUUACUAAUUUUUCUUCUAAAAAGAUUUAUUGUAACAUUGAUACUCGGCAGUCUUUAGUUUCAGAAUAUUCUUACUUGUUUCCAAUUCUUAUAGCUAUGAUGCGUAAUUCGGUAAUCUAAACUAUGACAAUUUCAUUAUUCUGUUGAUUUAUUCACGAAAAAAAAAAAAAAAAAACGAUAA